AGGAAAUGCAUUUUGCGAGAAGAAUAAUUGUAUUUGAGUGUCUCUGUAAAAAUCAGGAAGUCUUUUAGCAGUAGUGGAGGACAUGCUAGAGGACGAGGAAGAAGAAGAUGACAAAGAUGACAAGGACAGUGAAAAAAAGGGAUUUAUAAAUAAAAUCUAUGCCAUCCAGGAGGUAUGUGUCAGUGUCCAGAACAUCCUAGAUGAAGUGGCUUCCUUUGGCGAAAGGAUAAAGAAUACUUUCAACUGGACUGUCCCAUUCUUAAGCUGGCUGGCCAUUGUAGCCCUCUGUGUGUUCACAGCCAUCCUGUACUGCAUUCCGCUGAGAUACAUUGUCCUUGUCUGGGGCAUCAAUAAAUUUACAAAAAAGCUUCGGAGUCCAUAUGCAAUUGAUAACAAUGAACUACUUGACUUCCUUUCCAGAGUCCCUUCAGAUGUACAAGUGGUGCAAUUCUGUCUUGAGAGCUGCCUGACUUGCCUUCAUUUUGAGAUCUGUGAUGUAAAUAUUUCUUAAGAGACUGAAUGUCACUCAAACAUCUACUUGGACUGCUAACUAUUAUAGAUAUUGUGAACUACUAAAUAUAUUCCUUUAGUAUCUUUUAGUGAGUAAAUUCACUGAGUCAUUAUUUAUAUUCAUAAACUAUUACUGACAUUUGUUGUGAUAAUUCAUAAGAAAUGCGUAUUUGUGCUUUUAAAUUUUUCCCCACUUAUCAAAAAGAACAUAAUAGUACUUCUCAUUCAUUCUGGUACUGUUCCAGACUCAAACUGAUUGAUUGAUAGGUUCUAUAGGAAUUCCAAUUUUUGAACAUUCUAUAUGCACUAGGAUAAUCUGAGUUGGGAGAUUCUUAAAAGGACUCUGUGAUAUAUUUAUCGAAUACCAACUGUAUGACCCUGUUAUAGACAACGGUCAAACCAAUGAUUGUAUACUAAAAUCAAAUCUGGAGUUGAAGUACAGUGAGAGCCAAAUUUAAUUGAUACAUUUCUAAAAUUAUCUUUUAUAAAAUUUUUAUUCUGCAUUUAAAAGUGAAGAAAAACUCAGAAGUAAAUUCUUAUCUAGGGACCACAGGAGCUUUUUUUCCACUUUGAUCUCAUAUCUAAGGUCUCCUAUGCUCAAAGUAGUCUACAUUUGUAUUAAUGUUAUUCAAAGGCAGUAAUUUCAGCGAAUAAACUUGUUAAAUGGGCCUAAAUGUUUAUAAUGUUGACUAAGCAUUAAGAACAAACAAAAAGGUAUAAGGCAGUUAUACCUUUUUGCUCCGGAAAUACAAGUAAAGACAGCUACCAUUAUACUUCUUGAAAAACGUCUCAGGUAUUGCUAAAUUAAUACUUGCUUAAAUUCUUGGGCUUUAAAUGAAUAGCAUGAUUUCACACUCUAGUGUGAGUGUGUGUUCAGAUGUCUAUUCGUUGGUUUGAUUAGGGUAUCUAGAAUCAGCCUUUUCUAAUUGCUCAGUAAAGUAUGAAUUAAAACCACAUAGAAAAUAAUGUGGUAAAUUCUUUCUUACAAUAGUGUCAUUCCUUUCAAUUAUAAUUCUUUUUCCUGGGAUGAUUGGUGUAACUCAAUGAAAGAAAACAAAACAUUUUUUUUUCUUUUUUUUUUUGGUGAAAAUGUUACCCUCUGGUACCUCAGUUUCUGGUACCUCAGUUUCUUUUAUAUAGUGGCAAUUUGAAUAGAGGCAGUCACAUAAGAUUUACUUCAGCUGAAUGGCUAAAAUUUGAGAAAUACUAUUGAAAAAUCUCAUUAAAAAAUAGUAUGCAAAUAAAAACUAUCAAAUGUCCAAAGCAAUCAUACAAUGUAGAAACUAAGAGCAUCAUGAAAGGUUUCCUGGAACUUAAUGAUUCUAUCUGUGCUUUUCAAAGGA
rnacentral:sRNA from 1 species